CCUGUUUUACUUAGACUGGGCCACUUUUGGACCUAUUCAGAAAUUCUGAAUCAUCAGCUCAUGUCAUUUCUAAAGCCAAGUCCUCAUCCUUUGAGUCAUCAAUUAUCAUAUAUUUUUACUCAUAGAUAUUGUCCCUAUCACUUUUUAAAGAUGCAAUUUAUGUCUACUUUCCAGUAAUCGUCAUAUUUUUACCAAAGCUUUUAGCUACCAUCGUUUUUGCCACCUAUGCACUUUUGGUGGUUUUACAGCAAGAAACUUCCAGAUUCCUGGAGUCAUGGACCGCAUGGUUUCCCAUUGUUGUUCUAAUCUGCCCUUCUCACUUCAAACCUCUUCUUCCUAAAAGGAGUUAAGGAUGGACUCUGAUGUUGUUGAAGGUAUUUAACAAAAUCUGGAACCGUCUUCUCCUGUUUCUGGUGAGAAGCAGGGCAAAGAGAAACAGAAAAAAAGGGGAGCUGACUGAAACUUGAACGAGCUGGGGAAGUCCAGGUCGAACAUGCACUUACGAGAGACCAACUCUGCACAAAGAAAUCAACAUUAGUUCUUCAAUUUUGGCUCCUCUGACUCCUGCUAUGGGAACGUAUCAGCCAGUGGCUUAUACCUGUGAAAAGCAGCAGAGACAGAAAGCAAUGACUGCAUUUGCCAAGCACAUAAUCACAUUCAACAGGGCUGUCUCUGUUACAUCGUUUCCCAAAAGUUUCCCAGUCUUUCUUUAUCCCAGGAAUACCCAAAUACCUGUCCAUUGUGCAUUUACUAGGGAACUGGAAAGAAUCCUUAUCUUUUAUAAGGAAAAUGGUUUUUACAAUGCGUCAAAUAUAUUUUUCAGUCCUC